GACGAACGCUGGCGGCGUGCUUAACACAUGCAAGUCGAGCGGUAAGGCCCCUUCGGGGGUGCACGAGCGGCGAACGGGUGAGUAACACGUGAGCAAUCUGCCCUUCACUUUGGGAUAACCACCGGAAACGGUGGCUAAUACCGAAUACGACCACUUCGGGCAUCCGAUGGUGGUGGAAAGUUCCGGCGGUGAAGGAUGAGCUCGCGGCCUAUCAGCUUGUUGGUGGGGUAACGGCCCACCAAGGCAACGACGGGUAGCCGGCCUGAGAGGGUGACCGGCCACACUGGGACUGAGACACGGCCCAGACUCCUACGGGAGGCAGCUGUAGGGAAUAUUGGACAAUGGGCGAAAGCCUGAUCCAGCAACGCCGCGUGAGGGAUGACGGCCUUCGGGUUGUAAACCUCUUUCAGCAGGGACGAAGCGCAAGUGACGGUACCUGCAGAAGAAGCACCGGCCAACUACGUGCCAGCAGCCGCCGUAAUAC
rnacentral:rRNA from 1 species